GAUGAACGCUGGCGGCGUGCCUAAUACAUGCAAGUCGAACGGUGAAAGCGGAGCUUGCUCCGCUGGAUCAGUGGCGAACGGGUGAGUAACACGUGGGCAACCUGCCCCUCACUUCGGGAUAACUCCGGGAAACCGGGGCUAAUACCGGAUAUGACCUCCUUGGGCAUCCUUGGAGGUGGAAAGUUUUUCGGUGAGGGAUGGGCCCGCGGCCUAUCAGCUUGUUGGUGAGGUAGUGGCUCACCAAGGCGACGACGGGUAGCCGGCCUGAGAGGGCGACCGGCCACACCGGGACUGAGACACGGCCCAGACUCCUACGGGAGGCAGCAGUGGGGAAUAUUGCGCAAUGGGCGAAAGCCUGACGCAGCAACGCCGCGUGCGGGAUGACGGCCUUCGGGUUGUAAAGCUCUUUUAGUAGGGAAGAAGCGAAAGUGACGGUACCUGCAGAAAAAGCACCGGCUAACUACGUGCCAGCCGCCGCGGUAA
rnacentral:rRNA from 1 species